rnacentral:rRNA from 1 species
CCAGAGAAUUUAGCAGAGAUGCUUUAGUGCCUUCGGGAACUCUGAGACAGGUGCUGCAUGGCUGUCGUCAGCUCGUGUUGUGAAAUGUUGGUUAAGUCCCGCAACGAGCGCAACCCUAUCCUUUGUUGCCAGCGAUUCGGUCGGGAACUCAAAGGAGACUGCCGGUGAUAAACCGGAGGAAGGUGGGGAUGACGUCAAGUCAUCAUGGCCCUUACGAGUAGGGCUACACACGUGCUACAAUGGCGCAUACAAAGAGAAGCGACCUCGCGAGAGCAAGCGGACCUCAUAAAGUGCGUCGUAGUCCGAAUUGGAGUCUGCAACUCGACUCCAUGAAGUCGGAAUCGCUAGUAAUCGUAGAUCAGAAUGCUACGGUGAAUACGUUCCCGGGCCUUGUACACACCGCCCGUCACACCAUGGGAGUGGGUUGCAAAAGAAGUAGAUAGCUUAACCUUCGGGAGGGCGUUUACCACUUUGUGAUUCAUGACUGGGGUGAAGUCGUAACAAGGUAAGCGUAGCGAG